GAUGAACGCUGGCGGCGUGCCUAAUACAUGCAAGUCGAGCGAACGGACGAGAAGCUUGCUUCUCUGAUGUUAGCGGCGGACGGGGGAGUAACACGUGGAUAACCUACCUAUAAGACUGGGAUAACUUCGGGAAAACGGAGCUAAUACCGGAUAAUAUUUUGAACCGCAUGGUUCAAAAGUGAAAGACGGUCUUGCUGUCACUUAUAGAUGGAUCCGCGCUGCAUUAGCUAGUUGGUAAGGUAACGGCUUACCAAGGCAACGAUGCAUAGCCGACCUGAGAGGGUGAUCGGCCACACUGGAACUGAGACACGGUCCAGACUCCUACGGGAGGCAGCAGUAGGGAAUCUUCCGCAAUGGGCGAAAGCCUGACGGAGCAACGCCGCGUGAGUGAUGAAGGUCUUCGGAUCGUAAAACUCUGUUAUUAGGGAAGAACAUAUGUGUAAGUAACUGUGCACAUCUUGACGGUACCUAAUCAGAAAGCCACGGCUAACUACGUG
rnacentral:rRNA from 1 species